GAUGAACGCUGGCGGCGUGCCUAAUACAUGCAAGUCGAGCGAACGGACGAGAAGCUUGCUUCUCUGAUGUUAGCGGCGGACGGGUGAGUAACACGUGGAUAACCUACCUAUAAGACUGGGAUAACUUCGGGAAACCGGAGCUAAUACCGGAUGAUAUUUUGCACCGCAUGGUUCAAAAGUGAAAGACGGUCUUGCUGUCACUUAUAGAUGGAUCCGCGCUGCAUUAGCUAGUUGGUAAGUUAACGGCUUACCAAGGCAACGAUGCAUAGACGACCUGAGAGGGGGAUCGGCCACACUGGAACUGAGACACGGUCCAGACUCCUACGGGAGGCAGCAGUAGGGAAUCUUCCGCAAUGGGCGAAAGCCUGACGGAGCAACGCCGCGUGAGUGAUGAAGGUCUUCGGAUCGUAAAGCUCUGUUAUGAGGGAAGAACAUAUGUGGAAGUAACUGUGCACAUCUUGACGGUACCUAAUCAGAAAGCCACGGCUAACUACGUG
rnacentral:rRNA from 1 species